rnacentral:rRNA from 1 species
GAUGAACGCUGGCGGCGUGCUUAACACAUGCAAGUCGAACGGUGAAAGAGAGCUUGCUCUCUGGAUCAGUGGCGAACGGGUGAGUAACACGUGAGCAAUCUGCCCUUGACUCUGGGAUAAGCGCUGGAAACGGCGUCUAAUACCGGAUACGAGCUGCGAAGGCAUCUUCAGCAGCUGGAAAGAACUUCGGUCAAGGAUGAGCUCGCGGCCUAUCAGCUAGUUGGUGAGGUAACGGCUCACCAAGGCGUCGACGGGUAGCCGGCCUGAGAGGGUGACCGGCCACACUGGGACUGAGACACGGCCCAGACUCCUACGGGAGGCGGCAGUGGGGAAUAUUGCACAAUGGGCGCAAGCCUGAUGCAGCAACGCCGCGUGAGGGACGACGGCCUUCGGGUUGUAAACCUCUUUUAGCAGAGAAGAAGCGAAAGUGACGGUACCUGCAGAAAAAGCACCGGCUAACUACGUGCCAGCCGCCGCCGUAAUAC